rnacentral:rRNA from 1 species
AGAGUUUGAUCAUGGCUCAGGAUGAACGCUAGCGGCAGGCUUAAUACAUGCAAGUCGUGGGGCAGCAUGAUGUAGCAAUACAUUGAUGGCGACCGGCAAACGGGUGCGGAACACGUACACAACCUUCCUUUAAGCGGGGAAUAGCCCAGAGAAAUUUGGAUUAAUACCCCAUAACAUAUUAAGAUGGCAUCAUCUUAAUA